GACGAACCGUGCAAACGUUGUUCGGAAUCACUGGGCUUAAAGGGCGCGUAGGCGGUCCGACAAGUCGGGGGUGAAAUCCUGCAGCUUAACUGCAGAAGUGCCUUCGAUACUGUCGGUCUUGAGGGAGAUAGGGGUGUGCGGAACUUCCAGUGGAGCGGUGAAAUGCGUUGAUAUUGGAAGGAACGCCGGAGGCGAAAGCGGCGCACUGGAUCUCUACUGACGCUGAGGCGCGAAAGCCAGGGGAGCAAACGGG
rnacentral:rRNA from 1 species